AUGUCAGUGGCUGUAAGAAGGUUACAGAUACAGGAGUUCAGGCUAUAGCUUUGAGCUGCCGCAAGUUGCAAUAUCUGGACCUUAGUUCCACGGGAACUGGCAAAUAUGGAAUUUGUUUACUUGCAUCUUAUUGCAAUCAGAACUUGGAAUGUGUGAAACUCAGCUUCUGCAAAGAAAUAACUGAAGAUGCCUUAAAAAAAUUGUGUAGAAACUGCAAACAACUAAAGUUGGUUCAUCUCUAUGGAUGCCAAUCUGUCCAUAAUCUGAAGGCAAUUCAGGCCGUGAACAAGCAAGUGAAGUUGCACCAUGAUCGUCCACCCUGCAGUGCCAAAGAUCAAGAAUGUUAAAAACAUGCAUGUAAAGAUCACUGAUGUAAUGCCAUAUUUUGGCAUAGGUGCUCCCACACAAUGCAUCACCAUGCCAACCAUGAAGAGAUUCUUACUGUGGUUGAAAGGAACUGUGCUA